rnacentral:rRNA from 1 species
CGGGGGAAAGGGGGGGAUCUUCGGACCUCUCGCUAUCAGAUGAGCCCAUGUCAGAUUAGCUUGUUGGUGAGGUAAAGGCUCACCAAGGCGACGAUCUGUAACUGGUCUGAGAGGAUGAUCAGUCACACUGGAACUGAGACACGGUCCAGACUCCUACGGGAGGCAGCAGUGGGGAAUAUUGGACAAUGGGCGCAAGCCUGAUCCAGCCAUGCCGCGUGUGUGAAGAAGGCCUUAGGGUUGUAAAGCACUUUCAGUGGGGAGAAAGGUCAUUCACCUAAUACGUGAGUGAAUUGAUGUUACCCACAGAAGAAGCACCGGCUAACUCCGUGCCAGCAGCCGCGGUAAUACGGAGGGUGCAAGCGUUAAUCGGAAUUACUGGGCGUAAAGCGCACGUAGGUGGUUUGUUAAGCCAGCUGUGAAAUCCCCGGGCUCAACCUGGGCACUGCAGUUGGAACUGGCAAGCUAGAGUAGGG